rnacentral:rRNA from 1 species
GAUGAACGCUGGCGGCGUGCCUAAUACAUGCAAGUCGAGCGAACAGACGAGGAGCUUGCUCCUCUGACGUUAGCGGCGGACGGGUGAGUAACACGUGGAUAACCUACCUAUAAGACUGGGAUAACUUCGGGAAACCGGAGCUAAUACCGGAUAAUAUAUUGAACCGCAUGGUUCAAUAGUGAAAGACGGUUUUGCUGUCACUUAUAGAUGGAUCCGCGCCGCAUUAGCUAGUUGGUAAGGUAACGGCUUACCAAGGCGACGAUGCGUAGCCGACCUGAGAGGGGGAGCGGCAACACGGGAACUGAGACCCGGGCCAAAACCCCACGGGAGGCAAGAGGGGGAAACUUUCCGGAAGGGGCAAAAGCCGAAAGGGGAAAAGCCGGGGGAGUAAAGAAGGUCUUGGGAUUGUAAAACUUUUUUAUUGGGGAAGAAAAAAGGUGUAAGUAAAUAUGAACGUUUUGACGGUAACUAAUCAAAAAGCCAGGGCUAAUUACGU